rnacentral:ncRNA from 1 species
CUACGGACUUAGAUAACUGAGCCUUGAAGGAGAAAUCCCUCAAGUGGAAGCUCUCAAACUCAGGGAAACCUAAAUCUGGUGACAGACAUGGCAAUCCUGAGCCAAGCCCGAAAAUUUUAGAUUUGCGAUUUUAGAUUUGGGAUUAGUUUUCAAUCUAAAAUCCAAAACCCAAAAUUGAGGGAAGGUGCAGAGACCCGACGGGAGCUACCCUAACGUAAAGUCGAGGGUAAAGGGAGAGUCCAAUUCUCAAAAUCUGAUUUGGCU